rnacentral:rRNA from 1 species
UACAGAGGUCUCAAGCGUUGUUCGGAUUCAUUGGGCGUAAAGGGUGCGUAGGCGGCGCGGUAAGUCGGGUGUGAAAUCUCGGAGCUUAACUCCGAAACUGCAUUCGAUACUGCCGUGCUUUGAGGACUGGAGAGGAGACUGGAAUUUACGGUGUAACGGUGAAAUGCGUAGAUAUCGUAAGGAAGACCAGUGGCGAAGGCGGGUCUCUGGACAGUUCCUGACGCUGAGGCACGAAGGUCAGGGGAGCAAACGGG